GACGAACGCUGGCGGCGUGCUUAACACAUGCAAGUCGAACGGUGAAGCGCCUUCCUUUUUGGUGGGUGUGGAUGAGUGGCGAACGGGUGAGUAACACGUGAGUAACCUGCCCCCUUCUUCUGGAUAACCGCAUGAAAGUGUGGCUAAUACGGGAUAUUCUGGGUCUGUCGCAUGAUGGGUCUGGGAAAGAUAUUGUUUCGGUGGGGGAUGGGCUCGCGGCCUAUCAGCUUGUUGGUGGGGUGAUGGCCUACCAAGGCGGUGACGGGUAGCCGGCCUGAGAGGGUGGACGGUCACACUGGGACUGAGACACGGCCCAGACUCGUACGGGAGGCAGCAGUGGGGAAUAUUGCACAAUGGGCGCAAGCCUGAUGCAGCGACGCCGCGUGAGGGAUGGAGGCCUUCGGGUUGUGAACCUCGUUCGCCAGUGAAGCAGGCCUGCCUCGUUUGUGGGUGGGUUGACGGUAGCUGGAUAAGAAGCGCCGGCUAACUACGUG
rnacentral:rRNA from 1 species